AGUGAACGCUGGCGGCAGGCCUAACACAUGCAAGUCGAACGGCAGCACAAGAGAGCUUGCUCUCUGGGUGGCGAGUGGCGGACGGGUGAGGAAUGCAUCGGAAUCUGCCCAUUUGUGGGGGAUAACCUCGGGAAACCGGGACUAAUACCGCAUACGACCUACGGGUGAAAGCAGGGGAUCUUCGGACCUUGCGCAGAUGGAUGAGCCGAUGCCGGAUUAGCUAGUUGGAGGGGUACAGGCCCACCAAGGCGACGAUCCGUAGCUGGUCUGAGAGGAUGAUCAGCCACACUGGGACUGAGACACGGCCCAGACUCCUACGGGAGGCAGCAGUGGGGAAUAUUGGACAAUGGGCGCAAGCCUGAUCCAGCCAUGCCGCGUGUGUGAAGAAGGCCUUCGGGUUGUAAAGCACUUUUGUUGGGAAAGAAAAGCAGCCGGUUAAUACCCGGUUGUCAUGACGGUACCCAAAGAAUAAGCACCGGCUAACUUCGUG
rnacentral:rRNA from 1 species